rnacentral:lncRNA from 1 species
CUCCUUCUUCUUCUUCUUCUUCUUCUGGUGGGCGGCUACGAGGGCCUUAACCCUCACCAAACCUAUUCCCCCUUCUUCUUCUUCUUCUUCUUCUUCUUCUUCUUCUUCUUCUUCGUUCCUUGCCUUUUUUGGCAAUGGUGAGCGGCUACGAGGGCCUUAGCCCUCACCAAACCUAUUCCCCCUUCUCCUUCUCCUCCUCCUCCUCCUCCUCCUCCUCCUCCUUCUUAUUCUUCUCCUAAUGGGCGGCUACGAGGGCCUUAGCCCUCACCAAACCUAUUCCCCCUUCUUCAUCAUCAUCUUCUUCUUCUUCUUCUUCUUCUUCUUCUUCUUCUUCUUCUUCGUUCCAUGCCUUUUUUGGCAAUGGUGGACGGCUACGAGGGCCUUAGCCCUCACCAAAUCUAUUCCCCCUUGUUUUUCUUCUUCUUCUUCUUCUCCUGGUGGGCGGCUACGAGGGCCUUAGCCCUCACCAAACCUAUUCCCCCUUCUUCUUAUUCUUCUUUUUCUUCUUCUUCUCCUUGCCUUUUUUGGCAAUGGUGGGCGGCUACGAGGGCCUUAGGCCUCACCAAAC